AACCCAGCAUGAGUUAUGUCAUGUUAUCGAUAUGUGAAUACAUAGCAUAUCAGAAGGCAGACCCGGAGAACUGAAACAUCUUAGUACCCGGAGGAAGAGAAAGAAAAAUCGAUUCCCUGAGUAGCGGCGAGCGAAACGGGAAGAGCCCAAACCAACAAGCUUGCUUGUUGGGGUUGUAGGACACUCUAUACGGAGUUACAAAAG
rnacentral:rRNA from 1 species